GAUGAACGCUGGCGGCGUGCCUAAUACAUGCAAGUCGAGCGAACAGACGAGGAGCUUGCUCCUCUGACGUUAGCGGCGGACGGGUGAGUAACACGUGGAUAACCUACCUAUAAGACUGGGAUAACUUCGGGAAACCGGAGCUAAUACCGGAUAAUAUAUUGAACCGCAUGGUUCAAUAGUGAAAGACGGUUUUGCUGUCACUUAUAGAUGGAUCCGCGCCGCAUUAGCUAGUUGGUAAGGUAACGGCUUACCAAGGCAACGAUGCGUAGCCGACCUGAGAGGGUGAUCGGCCACACGGGAACUAAGACACGGCCCAGACUCCUACGGGAGGCAGCAGUAGGGAAUCUUCCGCAAUGGGCGAAAGCCUGACGGAGCAACGCCGCGUGAGUGAUGAAGGUCUUCGGAUCGUAAAACUCUGUUAUUAGGGAAGAACAAAUGUGUAAGUACCUAUGCACGUCUUGACGGUACCUAAUCAGAAAGCCACGGCUAACUACGUG
rnacentral:rRNA from 1 species